UACGUAGGGUGCGAGCGUUGUCCGGAAUUAUUGGGCGUAAAGGGCUCGUAGGCGGUUUGUCGCGUCGGGAGUGAAAACCAUGGGCUUAACUCAUGGCUUGCUUCCGAUACGGGCAGACUAGAGGUAUGCAGGGGAGAACGGAAUUCCUGGUGUAGUGGUGAAAUGCGUAGAUAUCGGGAGGAACACCAGUGGCGAAGGCGACUACCUGGCCUGUUUCUUGACGCUGAGGCGCGAAAGCUAGGGGAGCAAACGGG
rnacentral:rRNA from 1 species